GGACAUUGAAGAUGACUUGGGUUUGGGGGUACAAGGGGCAUGAGGCAGAACUUCCAUGAUCUAUGUGAGUUGUGAAGGAUAAGUUAGAAGGAAAUGCCUACCUAGCCACACUGGAAAGGAAGUUUGGUUUCCAAAUCAUCUCAAUCCAUCGGCUCAAGCAGAUGAGGAAGCUGAGACCUGGGUCACAUGCCUGAAGGCUUUCUGAAUCUAAGUGGACCCCAUUUCAGCUCAACUUAAGGACCUCAAUCCUCUGCUGCUUACAAUUGUCCCUUUGCUCCUUGCCGUGCUCUCCUGUUGUUGAUAUUUUCAUUUCAGCCAUUCAAAUUGAAUAUUUAGAAGAAGGAGCACAAGAAAGAGGACACCCUUAACAGAAAAGUUAUUCAUUUCCAAUUUAAGACUCAUCAAGGGAUAAAAUCUGAAAACUUAUAAAGGAUACUUAUUACAGAAAAAAUUUAAGGGGAAACUGGUGCUGUGGAGAGACCCAUGUGGAAAGGAACUGAGGACUCCCGGCAAAAGUCACCAAGGACCGAGGUUGCUGACAGCUGCAUGUGAACUCGGAAGCAGAUCAAUCCUUGCCCAAGCCCACACUUUGUCUACAGCCUUGGUGAGAGACCCUGAGCCAGGGAUGCACAUCCAAGCUGCACCCAAACUCUUGACCCACAGAAACUGUGAGAUGAUGAAUGUGUUUAAGCCCCCAUAUUGUGGAGUCAUUUAUUACACAGCAAUAGAUGGCUAAGAUGAGCACUAUUUUUAUCCCCUUGUGAGUUCAUGGCUUGGUCUCCCUACCUCCCACUGACUAAAUGUGGCUAAAGCAAAAUCCAAUAACCAGCUGUCUCUGAACAAUAUUAACUGAAUGCCUACUGUUUACUAGCAUGACAGGAAUUCAAAAGAGUUUAUGAGGGAAAUGGCCACAGUGAGGCAGAGGAUUUACAUGCUGGGAAGGCUUCAUCCUGGCAAAUUACCCAGGGCAGACCUUCCCUCCUUCACUGUCUAAAAUAUCCAACUCUUAUAGUUUCAAAUCCCCAUCUCUUAUUGUCUGUCUUAUAGAAACCACCCU
rnacentral:lncRNA from 1 species